AUGUGAUUUGAAGAUCCCUAGGAAGAUCAAAUUCCUAGCUUACAUUUGCAUGGUGAGUUCAACAAGUAUUUGUUAUUAGAGAACAAGUAACACAGUUAGUGGUGUAGGGAAGCAAACGAAUGUAACACCAAUUGAAAGUCCUUCAACAAGUAGAGAUGCACACAUGUUUCAAUCAUUUGAGAUACCCUUUUGUAGAAGUAUUUGGAAGAUAACUAUUAAUAAUUUCAUUUGUAAAGAUACGAUUUGUAAAAAAGUAUAUACAAAGUGGUUUUGCUGGUAUUAAAUAAAUAAAUAAAAAUA
rnacentral:lncRNA from 1 species